GAUGAACGCUGGCGGCGUGCCUAAUACAUGCAAGUCGAGCGAACGGACGAGAAGCUUGCUCCUCUGAUGUUAGCGGCGGACGGGUGAGUAACACGUGGAUAACCUACCUAUAAGACUGGGAUAACUUCGGGAAACCGGAGCUAAUACCGGAUAAUAUUUUGAACCGCAUGGUUCAAUAGUGAAAGACGGUUUUGCUGUCACUUAUAGAUGGAUCCGCGCUGCAUUAGCUAGUUGGUAAGGUAACGGCUUACCAAGGCAACGAUGCGUAGCCGACCUGAGAGGGUGAUCGGCCACACUGGAACUGAGACACGGUCCAGACUCCUACGGGAGGCAGCAGUAGGGAAUCUUCCGCAAUGGGCGAAAGCCUGACGGAGCAACGCCGCGUGAGUGAUGAAGGUCUUCGGAUCGUAAAACUCUGUUAUUAGGGAAGAACAAAUGUGUAAGUAACUGUGCACAUCUUGACGGUACCUAAUCAGAAAGCCACGGCUAACUACGUG
rnacentral:rRNA from 1 species